rnacentral:rRNA from 1 species
CACGUAGUUAGCCGUGGCUUUCUAAUAAGGUACCGUCAAGGUACAGCCAGGUUACUACUGUACUUGUUCUUCCCUUACAACAGAGUUUUACGAUCCGAAAACCUUCUUCACUCACGCGGCGUUGCUCCAUCAGGCUUUCGCCCAUUGUGGAAGAUUCCCUACUGCUGCCUCCCGUAGGAGUCUGGGCCGUGUCUCAGUCCCAGUGUGGCCGAUCACCCUCUCAGGUCGGCUACGCAUCGUCGCCUUGGUGAGCCAUUACCUCACCAACUAGCUAAUGCGCCGCGGGCCCAUCCUGUAGCGAUAGCAGAACCAUCUUCAACUUUCAAACAUGUAGUUUAAAGUAUCAUUCGGUAUUAGCACCGGUUUCCCGGAGUUACUCCCAUCUACAGGUAGUGCCACGUGUUACUCACCGUCCGCCGCUAGCGUUACUCGGUGCAAGCACAAAGUACGCCGCUCGACUUGCAUGUAUUAGGCACGCCGCCAGCGUUCGUCCUGAGCCAGGAUCAAA